CACAGGAGGCUUGCGAGUUAGAUUGAACUGCCUUUGCUGGGUUCGGCCUGUGGUUUUCCUCCUGUAAUGACAUGUGAAGAGUGGGGGAGGGGAAAAGCUCUGUCCUGUGUUGCUGCUGAUGUUGUUAACCAAGGAUCUCAGGCUGGUUGGUAUUUUUGGCUUCAUCAUUCCAAUUUGCAGCCCCAUUUUGGAAAUAAAGCAAGAUUGAAGUCCAACAGAAGGGAGUUUCUGAGCCACAAAGCAGUCUUCUGGUCCAAGGAGACUUAAACUCAGGACCACUUUGCUCUUGGAGACCCAAGGAGGUUGUAUCCUUCUUGCCCGUCUUGCCCACACCCCUUUGUAUGACAUAGAACCCAAAAGAGAAGGGGUUCCCAUGGCUGAGAUGGGAGAUGUGGGUAUUACACUCCUCGUUCAGCUUUGAAGUUUCCAAAUUCGAGAGAGAUCAAAGCCUGAGUGGCCCCAGUUCCAAACCCAGAAUGACCUCCAAGUUCAUCUGAAACCUGCAGUCCUUAGCAGCCUUCUGUGAUUGAGGAAGGAAGAAUCAGGGGGAAGUUAUUGAAGGCAAGGAAUAUUUUUGGUGAAGCUCCCUUAAGCUGUGUAGCAAACAAAGUCAGAGUCUUCUUCUGCUUAAUGAAAUUUCCCAUUGAACUCAUCGAGCCAGCUUGCCAUUUUGCAUCAUCUGCAGACAAUGGCUCACCCUAACCCGGCACCUAGCAGGGUAGGUGUGGAAUCAGUGGUGGUAGGUAAAUAAA